UUCAAACAUACUGUCUUUGAAAGAUAUUUUUACAAGGCAUAGAAUAUCCCAUGGCAAUGGAACAAUCCUUUGGAAUAAAGAAGAGAGAUGAAGGUGGUAGAGCUUCUGAAUGUUGGAGCUCAAACGCUGCACAAACAUUAGAGACUCGUGCUGUCUGAGGUGGCAGUGAAAUAGGAGGAUUCUGUACUUCACCUUUUUGCAGAGACCAAAGCUCUAACACCUGAAAAGAUGAAACCUGCCAGCUCCCAGCUGAUGUUACAGCCUGAGUGGAAAGGCCUGUGUUGGCCUUCACUAUCUUAAAAUUUGCCCUUAUCUCUGCUCUUCCAGAGUUGGUGUUUCAGAAAUUACUCCACCAAGUUGUUGCAUUUUUGUGGGGCUUGUGUAGCUGACCUACCUAUAGUGCUUUGAAAAGUCCAGUCCUUAGGAAUCCAGUGUUGCUUUAUGGCGCAAAACCAUCAUCAAUAAAAGUUUAUAGAUUUAAAUAAAG
rnacentral:lncRNA from 1 species